rnacentral:rRNA from 1 species
UCAAGUGAAGAAGCGCAUACGGUGGAUGCCUUGGCAGUCAGAGGCGAUGAAAGACGUGGUAGCCUGCGAUAAGCUUCGGGGAGUCGGCAAACAGACUUUGAUCCGGAGAUCUCUGAAUGGGGGAACCCACCCAGCAUAAGCUGGGUAUCUUGCACUGAAUACAUAGGUGUAAGAGGCGAACCAGGGGAACUGAAACAUCUAAGUACCCUGAGGAAAAGAAAUCAACCGAGAUUCCCUUAGUAGUGGCGAGCGAACGGGGACUAGCCCUUAAGCUUCCUUGAAUCUAACGGAACGCUCUGGAAAGUGCGGCCAUAGCGGGUGAUAGCCCCGUAUGUGAAAGGUUCUUUGAAGUGAAAUCGAGUAGGACGGAGCACGAGAAACUUUGUCUGAAUAUGGGGGGACCAUCCUCCAAGGCUAAAUACUACUGACUGACCGAUAGUGAACUAGUACCGUGAGGGAAAGGCGAAAAGAACCCCGGAGAGGGGAGUGAAAUAGAUCCUGAAACCGUAUGCGUACAAGCAGUGGGAGCCCACUUUGUUGGGUGACUGCGUACCUUUUGUAUAAUGGGUCAGCGACUUAUUUUCAGUGGCGAGCUUAACCGAAUAGGGGAGGCGUAGCGAAAGCGAGUCUUAAUAGGGCGUUUAGUCGCUGGGUAUAGACCCGAAACCGGGCGAUCUAUCCAUGAGCAGGUUGAAGGUUAGGUAACACUGACUGGAGGACCGAACCCACUCCCGUUGAAAAGGUAGGGGAUGACUUGUGGAUCGGAGUGAAAGGCUAAUCAAGCUCGGAGAUAGCUGGUUCUCCUCGAAAGCUAUUUAGGUAGCGCCUCAUGUAUCACUGUAGGGGGUAGAGCACUGUUUCGGCUAGGGGGUCAUCCCGACUUACCAAACCGAUGCAAACUCCGAAUACCUACAAGUGCCGAGCAUGGGAGACACACGGCGGGUGCUAACGUCCGUCGUGAAAAGGGAAACAACCCAGACCGCCAGCUAAGGUCCCAAAGUUGUGGUUAAGUGGUAAACGAUGUGGGAAGGCUUAGACAGCUAGGAGGUUGGCUUAGAAGCAGCCACCCUUUAAAGAAAGCGUAAUAGCUCACUAGUCGAGUCGGCCUGCGCGGAAGAUGUAACGGGGCUCAAACCAGGCACCGAAGCCGCGGAUUCACACUAAGUGUGAGUGGUAGGGGAGCGUUCUGUAAGUCUGCGAAGGUGUGUCGAGAGGCAUGCUGGAGAUAUCAGAAGUGCGAAUGCUGACGUAAGUAACGAUAAAGGGGGUGAAAAGCCUCCUCGCCGGAAGACCAAGGGUUCCUGUCCAACGUUAAUCGGGGCAGGGUGAGUCGACCCCUAAGGCGAGGCCGAAAGGCGUAGUCGAUGGGAAACAGGUUAAUAUUCCUGUACUUGGUGUUACUGCGAAGGGGGGACGGAGAAGGCUAUGUUAGCCGGGCGACGGUUGUCCCGGUUUAAGCAUGUAGGCGGAGGUUCCAGGUAAAUCCGGUACCUUUUUAACGCUGAGGUGUGAUGACGAGGCACUACGGUGCUGAAGUAACAAAUGCCCUGCUUCCAGGAAAAGCCUCUAAGCAUCAGGUAACAUCAAAUCGUACCCCAAACCGACACAGGUGGUCAGGUAGAGAAUACCAAGGCGCUUGAGAGAACUCGGGUGAAGGAACUAGGCAAAAUGGCACCGUAACUUCGGGAGAAGGUGCGCCGGCGAGGGUGAAGGACUUGCUCCGUAAGCCCAUGCCGGUCGAAGAUACCAGGCCGCUGCGACUGUUUAUUAAAAACACAGCACUCUGCAAACACGAAAGUGGACGUAUAGGGUGUGACGCCUGCCCGGUGCCGGAAGGUUAAUUGAUGGGGUUAGCUAACGCGAAGCUCUUGAUCGAAGCCCCGGUAAACGGCGGCCGUAACUAUAACGGUCCUAAGGUAGCGAAAUUCCUUGUCGGGUAAGUUCCGACCUGCACGAAUGGCGUAACGAUGGCGGCGCUGUCUCCACCCGAGACUCAGUGAAAUUGAAAUCGCUGUGAAGAUGCAG